rnacentral:misc_RNA from 1 species
CAGGACAUCACUGCCACCGAGGAUGAGUUUGACUUCCUGUGUAAGACAAUAGAUUGCCCACCAAAUUAGAUGGUGUUGUUACCAGAGAUGACCUUUUAUCUUUGCAGCAGGAAAAUAUAAGAAAUAAUUAAAUAGUUCUGGCUUCUGGGAACUUUUUGUAUAGAAAUAUGUUUAUUGGAUAUGCCAACUGCCAAGGGAAGAUGAUGCGUUAUUUUAGUUUGGUAUUACUUGAUUGAAAUAUGGAGUACUGAAAUUGUUUAUUAAAUAAAAACUUAAAAUUUACUUUGUGGUGGGAAAAACUUUGCAGAUCAUAUAGCAGAGUGAAAUGGGAUUUUCUGUGUUUUAUGCAUGUAUAGGUGGAUUAUGAAUUUAUUGAUUGUUAUGGGCAUGCCAAUAUCCUGUGGUGCCAGUUACCAUGGAUUUAUUUUCAUUCUUAAUUUUAUGUUUCAUUUUGGUGGACUGUGAAUACGCAUGCUUAAAUCGUAACCUGGAAGGGCUUUUGCCAAGUUCGAGUAUAUGUUUGUUCCUUGUCUUUCAUUUAUAAAUGAGAACCAUACUUUUUUUUCACUUGGCUGAAAUUGCUUUAGUAUAAUUGCAGUUUAUGAACAAAGUUCUCUAC